rnacentral:rRNA from 1 species
UACGAACCGUGCGAACGUUGUUCGGAAUCACUGGGCUUAAAGGGCGCGUAGGCGGGCCGUCAAGUCCGGGGUGAAAUCCUCCAGCCCAACUGGAGAAGCGACUCGGAGACUGGCGGCCUCGAGGAGGGUAGGGGCAAGCGGAACUAUGGGUGGAGCGGUGAAAUGCAUUGAUAUCCAUAGGAACUCCGGUGGCGAAGGCGGCUUGCUGGACCCUUUCUGACGCUGAGGCGCGAAAGCCAGGGGAGCGAACGGG